rnacentral:tRNA from 1 species
AAAGUACUAGUAAAAAUAUUACACUGCCUUGUCAAGGCAGAAUUGCGAGUUAAAACCUCGCGUAUUUUA